CAGACUCCUACGGGAGGCAGCAGUAGGGAAUCUUCGGCAAUGGACGAAAGUCUGACCGAGCAACGCCGCGUGAGUGAAGAAGGUUUUCGGAUCGUAAAACUCUGUUGGUAGAGAAGAACGUUGGUGAGAGUGGAAAGCUCAUCAAGUGACGGUAACUACCCAGAAAGGGACGGCUAACUACGUGCCAGCAGCCGCGGUAAUACGUAGGUCCCGAGCGUUGUCCGGAUUUAUUGGGCGUAAAGCGAGCGCAGGUGGUUUAUUAAGUCUGGUGUAAAAGGCAGUGGCUCAACCAUUGUAUGCAUUGGAAACUGGUAGACUUGAGUGCAGGAGAGGAGAGUGGAAUUCCAUGUGUAGCGGUGAAAUGCGUAGAUAUAUGGAGGAACACCGGUGGCGAAAGCGGCUCUCUGGCCUGUAACUGACACUGAGGCUCGAAAGCGUGGGGAGCAAACAGGAUUAGAUACCCUGGUAGUCCACGCCGUAAACGAUGAGUGCUAGAUGUAGGGAACUAUAAGUUCUCUGUAUCGCAGCUAACGCAAUAAGCACUCCGCCUGGGGAGUACGACCGCAAGGUUGAAACUCAAAGGAAUUGACGGGGGCCCGCACAAG
rnacentral:rRNA from 1 species